rnacentral:rRNA from 1 species
UCAUGGCUCAGCGUGAACGCUGGCGGCAUGGCUAAAGCAUGCAAGUCGUACGUACCAGCAAUGGUAAGUGGCGGACGGGUUAGUAAUGCGAUCGAACGUACCCUGAGGUGGAGGAUAGCGAUGGGAAACUGUCGGUAAUACUCCAUGUCCUCUCCGGAGAAAAGCUUUUGCGCCUUUGGAUCGGCGAUCGUCCUAUCAGCUAGUUGGCGGGGUAAAGGCCCACCAAGGCGAAGACGGGUAGCAGGUGUGAGAGCACGACCUGCAACAUCGGAACUGAGACACUGUCCGGACUCCUACGGGAGGCUGCAGCGACGAAUCUUCUGCAAUGAGCGAAAGCUUGACAGAGCAAUGCCGCGUGUGGGAUGAAGCGUCUAUGACGUGUAAACCACUGUCAGGGGAUGGAACCAACGAUUAUCCCCAG